CUAGUUGGUGGGGUAACGGCCUACCAAGGCGAUGAUGGGUAGCUGGUCUGAGAGGACGAUCAGCCACACUGGGACUGAGACACGGCCCAGACUCCUACGGGAGGCAGCAGUGAGGAAUUUUCCGCAAUGGGCGCAAGCCUGACGGAGCAACGCCGCGUGUGUGAUGAAGUCCUUCGGGAUGUAAAGCACUGUCGGAGGGGAUGAAUAGAUGACAGUACCCUCCAAGAAAGCCCCGGCUAACUACGUGCCAGCAGCCGCGGUAAUACGUAGGGGGCAAGCGUUAUCCGGAUUUACUGGGCGUAAAGCGCGUGUAGGUGGUUGCGUAAGUUGGUUGUGAAAUCUCCCGGCUCAACCGGGAAACUGCAAUCAAAACUGCGCGGCUAGAGUGGCAGAGAGGAAAGUGGAAUUCCCGGUGUAGUAGUGAAAUGCGUAGAUAUCGGGAGGAACACCAGCGGCGAAGGCGACUUUCUGGCUGCCAACUGACACUGAGACGCGAAAGCUAGGGGAGCGAACGGGAUUAGAUACCCCGGUAGUCCUAGCCGUAAACGAUGCACGCUAGGUGUUGGUCGUAUUGACGCGAUCAGUGCCGAAGCUAACGCAUUAAGCGUGCCGCCUGGGGAGUACGGUCGCAAGAUUAAAACUCAAAGGAAUUGACG
rnacentral:rRNA from 1 species